GAUGAACGCUAGCUACAGGCUUAACACAUGCAAGUCGAGGGGAAACGAUAUUGGAAGCUUGCUUCCGAUAGGCGUCGACCGGCGCACGGGUGAGUAACGCGUAUCCAACCUGCCCAUCACUUGGGGAUAACCUUGCGAAAAUAAGACUAAUACCCAAUGACGUCUCUAGAAGACAUCUGAAAGAGAUUAAAGAUUUAUCGGUGAUGGAUGGGGAUGCGUCUGAUUAGCUUGUUGGCGGGGUAACGGCCCACCAAGGCGACGAUCAGUAGGGGUUCUGAGAGGAAGGUCCCCCCACAUUGGAACUGAGACACGGUCCAAAACUCCUACGGGAGGCAGCAGUGAGGAAUAUUGGUCAAUGGACGAGAGUCUGAACCAGCCAAGUAGCGUGCAGGAAGACGGCCCUAUGGGUUGUAAACUGCUUUUAUAAGGGAAUAAAGUGAGUCUCGUGAGACUUUUUGCAUGUACCUUAUGAAUAAGGACCGGCUAAUUCCGUGCCAGCAGCCG
rnacentral:rRNA from 1 species